rnacentral:tRNA from 1 species
GCACCUGUAGCUCAAUUGGAUAGAGCGCCAGCCUACGAAGCUGUAGGUUGGGGGUUCGACUCCCCCCGGGUGCA